GGCGGCGUGCCUAACACAUGCAAGUCGCACGAGAAAGUGGAGCAAUCCAUGAGUAAAGUGGCGCACGGGUGAGUAACACGUGAAUAAUCUACCUCCGAGUGGGGAAUAACUGAGAGAAAUCUUAGCUAAUACCGCAUAAUACCCACGGGUCAAAGCAGUAAUGCGCUUGGAGAGGAGUUCGCGGCCGAUUAGUUAGUUGGCGGGGUAAUGGCCCACCAAGACGAUGAUCGGUAUCCGGCCUGAGAGGGCGCACGGACACACUGGAACUGAAACACGGUCCAGACUCCUACGGGAGGCAGCAGUGGGGAAUUUUGCGCAAUGGGGGAAACCCUGACGCANCAACGCCGCGUGGAGGAUGAAAUCCCUUGGGAUGUAAACUCCUUUCGAUAGGGAAGAUAAUGACGGUACCUAUAGAAGAAGCCCCGGCUAACUUCGUGCCAGCAGCCGCGGUAAUACGAAGGGGGCAAGCGUUGUUCGGAAUUAUUGGGCGU
rnacentral:rRNA from 1 species